rnacentral:rRNA from 1 species
CCUACGGGAGGCAGCAGUAGGGAAUAUUGGUCAAUGGGCGAGAGCCUGAACCAGCCAUGCCGCGUGCAGGAAGAAGGCCCUCUGGGUUGUAAACUGCUUUUGACAGGGGCCAAAAUACUCAUGCGUGAGGAAUUGAGAGUACCUGUAGAAUAAGCACCGGCUAACUCCGUGCCAGCAGCCGCGGUAAUACGGAGGGUGCAAGCGUUGUCCGGAUUUAUUGGGUUUAAAGGGUGCGUAGGUGGCCUUAUAAGUCAGUGGUGAAAGCCUGCAGCUUAACUGUAGGACUGCCAUUGAUACUGUAGGGCUUGAGUACUGAUGAGGUAGGCGGAAUUGAUAGUGUAGCGGUGAAAUGCAUAGAUAUUAUCAAGAACACCGAUUGCGAAGGCAGCUUACUAAGGAGUUACUGACACUGAGGCACGAAAGCGUGGGGAUCAAACAGGAUUAGAUACCCUGGUAGUCCACGCCAUAAACGAUGAUUACUCGAUGUAUGCGAUAGAUAGUAUGCGUCCAAGCGAAAGCGUUAAGUAAUCCACCUGGGAGUACGACCGCAAGUUGAAACUNAANAGAGUAGAGNGNGAGAGNGCGAGACGCACGAGGGAGAG